ACACAAGUAGAAGGCCAAGGUAUGACAACUCUCAAACUAAAUGCUAUAAUUGUCAUAAAUUUGGCCACUAUGCUUCGGAAUGUGAGAAGUCAAACAAUUACGUGCAAGAAAGAGCAAAUUUUGCACAAGAAGAUACCGAAGCCAUGGAAAACACUUUGUUACUAGCAUGCAAAGGUGGAGACAACGGAGGAUUGAAUUUGUGGUAUC
rnacentral:lncRNA from 1 species